GCCAGUGUGGUGCAAUGGUUUGAGCACUUGACAAUAACUCUGGAGACCAGGGUUCAAAUCCCUGCUCAGCCA